AUUAAGUGAUACCAGGGAGAUGGAUGCAAUCAACCAAAUCCAGAAUGUGGGAGAAAAUGACAAGAAAGACCAACUAGCAACUGUGUACAACAAGACACCUCUGAAGAUUCCAGAACCCAGGAGUGGGGUUGAAGCAUACCCUUGGAUCACAGAAACCAGGAAAAACUGCAUUAGAAGGCAGGCAAAACUGAGGACUUCAGCCCGGGAC